rnacentral:rRNA from 1 species
UACGGGGGGGGUAAGCGUUGUUCGGAAUUACUGGGCGUAAAGGGCUCGUAGGCGGCCAACUAAGUCAUACGUGAAAUCCCUCAGCUUAACUGGGGAACUGCGUGUGAUACUGGAUGGCUUGGAUUUGGGAGAGGGAUGCGGAAUUCCAGGUGUAGCGGUGAAAUACGUAGAUAUCAGGAGGAACACCGGUGGCGAAAGCGGCUUACUGGAUCGAAUCUGACGCUGAGGUGCGAAAGCUAGGGUAGCAAACGGG